AAAAUGAAAAUUGAAAUCAAUAUUGUUUAAUUGCGUUAAAUGUUAAUUGCGAGGUUAUUGUAAUAAGCUAAAAAAGGGAUUGACAAUGUUACUAAUAGACAUUUAAUGUCGUUUCUUUAUUUUCAGAUCAACAACACAAUUGUUUAUUUGAAUUUUAUCAAUUCCAUAUAAAAUAAGAUUGGAAUUGAAAUUUGGAAGAUGAGAGUUUCGUUAUUAAAUAAACUAACAAAUUAACCUUUAGUGACGACCAAAUCAAGAUAUGGUAAAAAUGAUCUGCAUUGAAGCUAUGGAAGUUGUUUAUUCAAUAUUGUGUUGAGAAAGAAUAAUACCCUUGCACUGGUCCAGUGGACUAGGAACAGGUCCUGGAGGUCCAGGAGGACCGGGA